rnacentral:rRNA from 1 species
UCCAAAAAACGUACUCAGUUCGGAUUGUAGGCUGCAACCCGCCUGCAUGAAGUCGGAAUUGCUAGUAAUCGUAGAUCAGCAUGCUACGGUGAAUACGUUCCCGGGCCUUGCACACACCGCCCGUCAAACCAUGAGAGUUGGCAACACCCGAAGCCUGUAGCUUAACCGCAAGGACGGCGCAGUCGAAGGUGGGGUCGAUGAUUAGGGUUAAGUCGUAACAAGGUAUC